rnacentral:rRNA from 1 species
ACUCCUACGGAGGCAGCAGUAGGAAUUUUCCGCAAUGGACGAAAGUCUGACGGAGCAAUGCCGCGUGAGUGAUGAAGGUUUUCGAAUCGUAAAGCUCUGUUGUAAGGGAAGAAUAGCAGUAGUAGGAAAUGACUACUGUGUGACGGUACCUUACCAGAAAGCCACGGCUAACUACGUGCCAGCAGCCGCGGUAAUACGUAGGUGGCAAGCGUUAUCCGGAAUUAUUGGGCGUAAAGGGCUCGUAGGUGGUUGAUCGCGUCGGAAGUGUAAUCUUGGGGCUUAACCCUGAGCGUGCUUUCGAUACGGGUUGACUUGAGGAAGGUAGGGGAGAAUGGAAUUCCUGGUGGAGCGGUGGAAUGCGCAGAUAUCAGGAGGAACACCAGUGGCGAAGGCGGUUCUCUGGACAAAGACUGACGCUCAGGCACGAAAGCGUGGGGAGCAAACAGGAUUAGAUACCCUGGUAGGCUCU